ACUAAAAAGUGCUGGGAAGACCUCUGUGUACAUUUCAGCGCCCUGGUUAUUCUGCCAAAGAAAUCUAGGGCAAAUUUAUUUUAGUUAAACAUUUAUUUGGUGGCCACUGUUUCUACAAUGAUUGUUUUGCUGUCCUCACCAUUAACCAUUUCUUUCUCUGAAUGCAAGUAAAUGUCAUAAUAUUCAUCUUCAAAAUGUAAGGAAAUACUGUUUGUUAAAUUACAUAAAUUACUAGAUUUCACAGUUCAAAACAUUGGGUUUUGCAGCUCAGUAUAAUUUAAGCCAUGAACUAUUCCCACUGCUCUCUAGUGAAUUAUGAAACAUAUCAAUCCCCAUUACUUCGAAGAAAAGAAAUAAUAAUAUGGAAGAAUUGAUAGAACAGAGUAGCAGUCUCACUGCAGUAAAUAUCUCAUGCCUUGAUCCUACACAGAAAUUCACAGAUGAAAAAUUCAAUGAGAUUCUGACAGGCACAUGCAUCCAUUUGUACAAGGAUGAUGGUACAAUCAGAUCCUUAAAUG
rnacentral:lncRNA from 1 species